CACUAUCGUUAACUGAAUACAUAGGUUAACGAGGCGAACCGGGGGAACUGAAACAUCUAAGUACCCCGAGGAAAAGAAAUCAACCGAGAUUCCCCCAGUAGCGGCGAGCGAACGGGGAGCAGCCCAGAGUCUGAAUCAGCUUGUGUGUUAGUGGAACGGUCUGGAAAGUCCGACGGUACAGGGUGAUAGUCCCGUACACCAAAAUGCACAGGCUGUGAACUCGAAGAGUAGGGCGGGACACGUGGUAUCCUGUCUGAAUAUGGGGGGACCAUCCUCCAAGGCUAAAUACUCCUGACUGACCGAUAGUGAACCAGUACCGUGAGGGAAAGGCGAAAAGAACCCCGGCGAGGGGAGUGAAAAAGAACCUGAAACCGUGUACGUACAAGCAGUGGGAGCACCUUCGGGUGUGACUGCGUACCUUUUGUAUAAUGGGUCAGCGACUUAUAUUCUGUAGCAAGGUUAACCGUAUAGGGGAGCCGCAGGGAAACCGAGUCUUAACUGGGCGUUAAGUUGCAGGGUAUAGACCCGAAACCCGGUGAUCUAGCCAUGGGCAGGUUGAAGGUUGGGUAACACUAACUGGAGGACCGAACCGACUAAUGUUGAAAAAUUAGCGGAUGACUUGUGGCUGGGGGUGAAAGGCCAAUCAAACCGGGAGAUAGCUGGUUCUCCCCGAAAGCUAUUUAGGUAGCGCCUCGUGAACUCAUCUUCGGGGGUAGAGCACUGUUUCGGCUAGGGGGUCAUCCCGACUUACCAACCCGAUGCAAACUACGAAUACCGAAGAAUGUUAUCACGGGAGACACACGGCGGGUGCUAACGUCCGUCGUGAAGAGGGAAACAACCCAGACCGCCAGCUAAGGUCCCAAAGUCAUGGUUAAGUGGGAAACGAUGUGGGAAGGCACAGACAGCCAGGAUGUUGGCUUAGAAGCAGCCAUCAUUUAAAGAAAGCGUAAUAGCUCACUGGUCGAGUCGGCCUGCGCGGAAGAUGUAACGGGGCUAAACCAUGCACCGAAGCUGCGGCAGCGACACUAUGUGUUGUUGGGUAGGGGAGCGUUCUGUAAGCCUGCGAAGGUGACCUGUGAGGGUUGCUGGAGGUAUCAGAAGUGCGAAUGCUGACAUAAGUAACGAUAAAGCGGGUGAAAAGCCCGCUCGCCGGAAGACCAAGGGUUCCUGUCCAACGUUAAUCGGGGCAGGGUGAGUCGACCCCUAAGGCGAGGCCGAAAGGCGUAGUCGAUGGGAAACAGGUUAAUAUUCCUGUACUUGGUGUUACUGCGAAGGGGGGACGGAGAAGGCUAUGUUAGCCGGGCGACGGUUGUCCCGGUUUAAGCAUGUAGGCUGGUUGUCCAGGCAAAUCCGGAUAAUCAAGGCUGAGGUGUGAUGACGAGGCACUACGGUGCUGAAGUAACAAAUGCCCUGCUUCCAGGAAAAGCCUCUAAGCAUCAGGUAACAUUAAAUCGUACCCCAAACCGACACAGGUGGUCAGGUAGAGAAUACCAAGGCGCUUGAGAGAACUCGGGUGAAGGAACUAGGCAAAAUGGUGCCGUAACUUCGGGAGAAGGCACGCUGGUGUGUAGGUGAAGUCCCUGCGGAUGGAGCUGAGACCAGUCGAAGAUACCAGCUGGCUGCAACUGUUUAUUAAAAACACAGCACUGUGCAAACACGAAAGUGGACGUAUACGGUGUGACGCCUGCCCGGUGCCGGAAGGUUAAUUGAUGGGGUUAUCCGUAAGGAGAAGCUCUUGAUCGAAGCCCCGGUAAACGGCGGCCGUAACUAUAACGGUCCUAAGGUAGCGAAAUUCCUUGUCGGGUAAGUUCCGACCUGCACGAAUGGCGUAAUGAUGGCCAGGCUGUCUCCACCCGAGACUCAGUGAAAUUGAACUCGCUGUGAAGAUGCAGUGUACCCGCGGCAAGACGGAAAGACCCCGUGAACCUUUACUAUAGCUUGACACUGAACAUUGAGCCUUGAUGUGUAGGAUAGGUGGGAGGCUUUGAAGCGUGGACGCCAGUCUGCGUGGAGCCAACCUUGAAAUACCACCCUUUAAUGUUUGAUGUUCUAACGUUGGCCCCUUACCGGGGUUGCGGACAGUGUCUGGUGGGUAGUUUGACUGGGGCGGUCUCCUCCCAAAGCGUAACGGAGGAGCACGAAGGUUAGCUAAUCCUGGUCGGACAUCAGGAGGUUAGUGCAAUGGCAUAAGCUAGCUUGACUGCGAGCGUGACGGCGCGAGCAGGUGCGAAAGCAGGUCAUAGUGAUCCGGUGGUUCUGAAUGGAAGGGCCAUCGCUCAACGGAUAAAAGGUACUCCGGGGAUAACAGGCUGAUACCGCCCAAGAGUUCAUAUCGACGGCGGUGUUUGGCACCUCGAUGUCGGCUCAUCACAUCCUGGGGCUGAAGUAGGUCCCAAGGGUAUGGCUGUUCGCCAUUUAAAGUGGUACGCGAGCUGGGUUUAGAACGUCGUGAGACAGUUCGGUCCCUAUCUGCCGUGGGCGCUGGAGAAUUGAGGGGGGCUGCUCCUAGUACGAGAGGACCGGAGUGGACGCAUCACUGGUGUUCGGGUUGUCAUGCCAAUGGCACUGCCCGGUAGCUAAAUGCGGAAGAGAUAAGUGCUGAAAGCAUCUAAGCACGAAACUUGCCCCGAGAUGAGUUCUCCCUGAGACUUUAAGUCUCCUGAAGGAACGUU
rnacentral:rRNA from 1 species